CGGCCACAUUGGGACUGAGACACGGCCCAGACUCCUACGGGAGGCAGCAGUGGGGAAUAUUGCACAAUGGGGGAAACCCUGAUGCAGCGACGCCGCGUGGAGGAAGAAGGUCUUCGGAUUGUAAACUCCUGUUGUUGAGGAAGAUAAUGACGGUACUCAACAAGGAAGUGACGGCUAACUACGUGCCAGCAGCCGCGGUAAAACGUAGGUCACAAGCGUUGUCCGGAAUUACUGGGUGUAAAGGGAGCGCAGGCGGGAGAACAAGUUGGAAGUGAAAUCCAUGGGCUCAACCCAUGAACUGCUUUCAAAACUGUUUUUCUUGAGUAGUGCAGAGGUAGGCGGAAUUCCCGGUGUAGCGGUGGAAUGCGUAGAUAUCGGGAGGAACACCAGUGGCGAAGGCGGCCUACUGGGCACCAACUGACGCUGAGGCUCGAAAGUGUGGGUAGCAAACAGGAUUAGAUACCCUGGUAGUCCACACCGUAAACGAUGAUUACUAGGUGUUGGAGGAUUGACCCCUUCAGUGCCGCAGUUAACACAAUAAGUAAUCCACCUGGGGAGUACGACCGCAAGGUUGAAACUCAAAGGAAUUGACGGGGGCCCGCACAAGCAGUGGAGUAUGUGGUUUAAUUCGACGCAACGCGAAGAACCUUACCAAGUCUUGACAUCCUGCGACGAUUCUGGAAACAGAACUUUCCUUCGGGACGCAGAGACAGGUGGUGCAUGGUUGUCGUCAGCUCGUGUCGUGAGAUGUUGGGUUAAGUCCCGCAACGAGCGCAACCC
rnacentral:rRNA from 1 species